rnacentral:lncRNA from 1 species
UCAGGAUAUAGGGGGCCACUGUCUGGCAGGGGCACUGAUGCAGGCAGUUGAACUUCUAUCAGUUUCUAAACCAUACCGUCUUUGGUUCCAUUCUCGUGUGGAUAGCUAAGUGAGUAUUCCAGUCUAAGGUUCUUCAGAGGCUGUACCUUACCUCCCAGGCCUGCGAAAGAAUCCAGCGCUCCAUCGCCUGAGACCUCUGAAACAAAAAGUAGGCCUAGAGGAGGAGGCCACUAUCACUGUUGAGAACACUCAUGAGUCCAACAAAGAUGAAGAGGUAGAAGGAGACAAUGGGGGAAGAAGGAGAAAUGGGAACUAUAGCUCCAGGAGGUGGGACAGUGGUGGCCCGGGUGGACAGAGCGGGCCAGGUUACAGAAUCCAACCCUGGGGACCCCCAUGGAGGAAGGAGUCUGGCUCAACAAGAAGAAGAAGAGGAGGAAGCUGAAGAAGAAACAUCAUAAACAGAAGCUCUUGUAUCUAGGUCUGGUGCCCCGUGCUGCAGCUCAAGUUCACCUACGAGAGCGAGGAGGAUGGGAGGGGGGGAGGAAGAGAUGAGGCAGAGAAGAGCAGCUGAAGUGAUAAUCUUCCUCAGGACCACACAAGAUCUACGUGUCUGAUUGUGAGUGUGACAUACCAAGGCUGCUAAUCAACACAGAUACGGUCACAUAUAGCCUAGGCUGUGUUUCAGUCUUCCUAAGAGCUGACCAAAAGUGCUGAAGCAUAGUUCAUUUUAUAGCUUUCGGAUUGGCAGAAAAUAAAUAAUUUGAACAGCACUGUGCAGAGCACACGCAAAUGAAAGUGAAAGCACAGCUCAUUAAUCACUAGCCUAUAACAACUUGAGGACCUUGAGAGAUUUAGGAAUCGAGGUGUAGAGGUGCAUUGAGGUGUUUGGGUUUACUUCAUCAUGCUCAAAUGUAAUGGACAGGCUCAGUCAUCUGGUCUGUCAUAAUCCCUCCAUGACUUGCCUCUGGAGGACUAGACAGACAGUCAGUCCAAAGAAUCCCAUUGGUUCCAGGGAUUAAGGUUUCUCUGUUGGUGAAUUACUGCAGAAGGCUAAGAAGGAAGACCUCUGGAAAUGUCCACAGUAGUUCAGUUAAAGGGGCUACAUGCUCCUGUUCCUUAUAUGCUCCUCAGUCUAGAGAUAGACCAGGGGAUUAAACACAGGCCCGUUCAGCAACGGAGCUUAUAAUGGUUGGUGGAGUAAUAGUAUACUUAAUCCACUACCAAGCAGGUUCAUCUGGUAGUGGAGGGUCUUCUGACCAGCCUGUACAAUGGAACAUUCCUCCCCUGCUGUUUUGGCCCAGCUCCACAGCCUCUAGUCCCUGGUGCAGCAACAGGACACAGCAAGGAUGGCAAAGAAUCUGCAGGAGCUCCAGAACAGCUCUACCAUGUCUACUGGUGAGUAGUCUUAUCUGGUUUUACCUCGCCUGGAUUAACCUGCGUUUGUCUGAGCUCGCCAUUCGCGUACACAUGCAUACAGUCACCGGUCAGUAUCAGCCCUCACCUGUCCUUAAAUACCAGACCACACCUGUCUAUACUAUCACUUACCUAUACAUGCAUGCUCUCACCUAUCUAAACACUAACCAGUUUGAAAAUCACCAGCGUCUCCUGCCAUUCAUUCACCUGGAGUUUCACCCAAGAGCUGCCAGGAGACCACACUUUGUACAGGUCUAGGAAUUGUGAACGAGAUGACCUCAGGUGAUGCCACUGCAGUUGUGUCCCUGUUUCAGUACUGGAUCACAGACAAUCCCGCCCAUGCCGAGAGAAUGGAAAACAGGCCAACCUACAACAUAACCUUCCUAGUCGAGCCAACCAACAACACAGCCUUAGACUUUCCUAGAUGUUCAGGGUUUUAAACAACACUGCUGACGGAAAACUUGUCUGACUUAAUUCAUUGUGAGCCCAUGUAACAGAGUUAAGUACAUACCGUAAGCUCACUCCACAGCUAGCUUGAAAUGUCGCGGAUGGAGCCAUCCAAUCGGUACCUUUUGGGUGGCUCAAACCGUUGGAAUGUUGUCAAGGAGGGCGGCCACGUGUGUUUACAAAGCAGAGGUCCCGAGUUUGAGCCGGGUACGAGCCGAAUCAGGGGGAAGUGAUACCAGACACAAUUAAUUAACCGUUUAAUAGAUUUUCCCCACAGAAAAGUGUGGCGAGCGAGCGUAUAAAAACAUUAAGUGGAUAAGGAAUAACAGUACUUUACCACAUUGUCCUAUGCACCUGUGCGGGCUCUAGGUCUAGUGUGAGCUUCAAGAGUUAUAUUAUUCCAUGUGAAAACCUACACUAUUUUUCUGUUACAAUGUUGUUAUAACCAUGAGAAAUGAAACAGACUAAAGUAUAGCUUGUGACAGUUUCGUUAUUCCUGAUAAAAAAAAAACGUCUCUCUGAUACACACAACCGUUCAAAAGUUUAGGGUCACUUAGAAAUGUCCUUGUUUUUGAAAGAAAAGAGAAGAGAAAAAAAAGUCCAUUAAAAUAACAUCCAAUUGAUCAGAAAUACAGUGUAGACAUUGUUAUAAAUGACUUCUUUUUUUAAUGGAAUAUCUACAUAGCCGUACAGAGGCCCAUUAUCAGCAACCAUCACUCCUGUGUUAGCUAAUCUUAAAUGUAUCCUUUUAAAAGGCUAAUUGAUCAUUAGAAAACACUUUUGCAAUUAUGUUAGCACAGCUGAAAACUGUUGUUCUGAUUAAAGAAGCAGUAAAACCGGCCUUUAGACUAGUUGAGUAUCUGGAGCAUCAGCAUCUGUGGGUUUGAGUGUGUGGCAUGCUUGAACAGAGGCAUUUGUGGUUCUGUGGUCUGGCCCACCAUCAGAUUGAAUGAUCAAGAUUGACUUGUUGAGAGACACAUCAUCUUCACUCUAGUUCUCUCCACUGAGGAUGCUGAGAUUUUCAACUGUAUGUCAAAGGUGGCUGGAUGGCUAGAAAACCUUGUCCUUGACAGUGACAUGAACUUUCCCAUCAUAGAAUGAACUAGAUGGAGAUGCUGGGAUCAACAUGACAGAUGGUACAAGUCCACUGAUGUGGUAAUCAUGGUCGGCAGCUGCUAGAACUGGCCCACUCACAGGAGCAAUGCUUGGAUGUCUGCCUCUGUUACGGGUCCCUAUAGGCUGGCCAGGUUCUCCGACAGGGAUGAUUGCCUAAUCAUCCACACAUAACAUUUCACUGUCCUGCCACAUGCAGGCAAACUGUUUUAAUGUAGUUCCAAACUUUUGAGUCUUGAUGUCCCUUUAUCACCCGAGACUGGACCAUGAACUUGACGUCAAACCUUCCUGUGUACUGGAGAGCAGACAUGGACCAUGGAUUCUUGGGUGUAAACUGCAGUCUUAGCCACUGUAUUGAUGGGAUUUUAGUUUUUGGUGGAAGCCGCUUUUCCACUUUGUCACACAAGUCCUCAACUUAUAUAUAUUACCUUUUAUUUAACUAGACAUGUCAGUGAAGAACAAAUUCUUAUUUUCAAUGAUGGCCUAGGAACAGUGGGUUAACUGCCUUGUUCAGGGGUAGAACGACAGAUUUUUACCUUGUCAGCUCAGGGAUUUGAUCUUGCAACCUUUCGGUUACUAGUCCAAUGCUCAAACCACUGUCGCCCCAUGUCUGCAAUCGUUGACCUGAGCUGUGUAUUCGUUAAAAUACUUCUGUACUUCAUCCCAAAAGGGCUGAAAUGAGGAUUGUGGUUUGCCAUUCAGCUUCCUUAAAAAGAAGGAACAAGGAUACUCUCUCAUCAAUUAGGCCCUGUCCAUCAUCGUUUGCUUAACCCUUGUCGUCUGUCAGAAACUGAUACAUUUCUCUCAGGAAGUAGCUGUUCACUUUGCAGCGUGUGCGUAUUUGUUCAUGAAUGUUUUUUUGCAUUGCUCUAGUGUGGAGUAUGUUGGUAUUUCUUUUCUCAGUGUGGCGAUGACAGAAGCUUGCCUGGUCUCAUGAACACCAUUGCUAUGUGAGGAUACCUUCCAUAUGAAUGUCAGAGUGCCUAGGUGGUUACCACAGGUAUACUUGUAUACAGUGAAAGUCAAUGGAAGUUUCAAGUUGUCAAUCCAUUUCCUUCUCCGGAAUCUGUCUUCAGGAGCAAAGUCCAGUAGAAAGAGGAGGGUGGUAUUGCGGCACUUUCUCCAAAGCUUGUAACAGAGUGCUGGACUUGGGGCUGACCGGUCUACAUGAUGCCCUCACAGUGUAGCAUAAAACAUCAGACUGGUGUACGUAGGGAGUGGGC